rnacentral:rRNA from 1 species
CCUACGGGAGGCUGCAGUGGGGAAUAUUGGACAAUGGGGGGAACCCUGAUCCAGCCAUGCCGCGUGUGUGAAGAAGGCCCUCGGUUUGUAAAGCACUUUCAGUGAGGAAGAACGCCUGGUGGUUAAUACCCAUCAGGAAAGACAUCACUCACAGAAGAAGCACCGGCUAACUCCGUGCCAGCAGCCGCGGUAAUACGGAGGGUGCGAGCGUUAAUCGGAAUUACUGGGCGUAAAGCGCGCGUAGGUGGCUUGAUAAGCCGGUUGUGAAAGCCCCGGGCUCAACCUGGGAACGGCAUCCGGAACUGUCAAGCUAGAGUGCAGGAGAGGAAGGUAGAAUUCCCGGUGUAGCGGUGAAAUGCGUAGAGAUCGGGAGGAAUACCAGUGGCGAAGGCGGCCUUCUGGACUGACACUGACACUGAGGUGCGAAAGCGUGGGUAGCAAACAGGAUUAGAUACCCGGGUAGUC